CUGUAACAUCUGAUGAAGUGGUUUUAAUUUAAAAAAGAAAAAUGAAAAGAAACAUAACUCCAGCCGUCCAUUUUUCCACUGCUUACUGGGUUCAGGUUGCAGGGCAGGACUCUGAGCAGAGGAGCCAAUGGAGUCAGUCCUCCUGUGGGGCUCCACCCAUGGCCCAACUGUAGGUGGCUGAGAGAUAACAGCUAGAUACAGCUGGGCAAUGGAACCAAUUUCCUGCAGUCGCCCUGGGCACGAGGCGGGGGGCUGGUGUUCCUGUAUCCCCUCAGUCCAUGAGAGAGUUGCUUCCCUGCAGCUCUGGGUCAGGGUCCUGACUGCUAUUUACCAAAUGCAGUUCAGAUUACCUACGUGGUGUCACCUGGUGGGGUGGGACUCCAUCGUUCUGCUGGGAGACUUCAACGCUCAGGAAUCCCCACAGUCAGCACACAGCAGCACACGGACGCUGUGCUCACCUGUCCUCAUGCUCAGGGAGAUGUAACCUGGAGCCGAGCUAUAGGAGGCACCCGGGUGACUCUUCUCACCGUCAGUAACGGUCAUGUGAGCAGCAGUUCGGAGCGCUUUGGUUCCCGUAAGAACAACGAGCUGCUUAUCAGGAAUGUUGUAGAGUCUGAUACUUCGAUGUAUCUGUGCAAUGAGAGGAAGACAGCCUAUCUGAAUGUGACCACAGACCCCAGCAUGGUGGAUCAAACAGUCACAGGGAGAAAGGACGACCCUGACCAGAAGGUGCCGGCUGCAGGUGCAGACACAGCUCCUCCCUCAGACUUGUGGAAAGUUCCUGUUGGCGUGCUGGCAGGAGCUGCACUGGUGCUGUUGUCCAUGUUGACUCUGAGACUGUGGAGGGCCGAGAAAGCAGCGAGGGACACGAGGGCGGUGCUGAGCGAGGUGGUUUAUGAGGAGAUCGGACACGCUGACGUGGAGCCCGGUCCAACCCCCGAGUCCAAGGUGGAAAACCCGUACUGCUGGUCCGAGGUCAGCGACCAGUCAAACACCUCCACAGCACCUGCUGCUCCUCUGUACAGCAACCUGUGCAGGCCCCAACCUGAAGGACACGACUCCGACACCUGCGUGUAUUACCUUACCCAGAAUCCUCUGCAGAUAGGAAGCAGCUGCCAGAGCUCCUCCUGACUUCUUUAAACCAGUUAUCAUGGGUGAGGGGCGGGUCUGACUGAGACUCCUCCCCUGCGUCCUGCUCCUCUCCGGCUAUCGAAGGACCAUCACCUCCAAAAAUGAACUUUCAUUCAGUCAGACAUGAAGGCAGUGACUGAGAC
ensembl:lncRNA